CCAGUAUAUAUCAUGUUUGUGUUUUUUUAACUUCCUGGGGUAUCAAGGAGUCAUACAGCUUUCUGUCAUGGAAAGCUUCCUCAAAGAGCUGAGGAGAGAGUUAUGAAGAUUUACAGGGGCAAUUUGUGAAGCACUGGUAGCACUCAGGUGGCAUGUUACAGUGUCAACAGAGGCUUUCUGAACUUACUGCUUCCACUGACCAAUAAAAG
rnacentral:lncRNA from 1 species